GGAAGUAAAAGUCUUAACAAGGUUUCCGUAGGUGAACCUGCGGAAGGAUCAUUAGAAAUGGCGGGGGAAGACUUGCUCUUCUCCCCAAAUCUCUAUUCUGUGCACUGUUUUUGUGUGCUGGGCUAGUUUCGGCUGGGUCAGCACGGGGUGGAGCUUUGGAAACUGUUUGCUAUGAAUUUUCCCCCGGGAAAGUUCCGCUGGAAACUUUUGACAUCUCCGCCGAAAUUUAAUACUAAUACUGACUGACCAUGAAAAAGUUAAUAUAACAACUUUCAGCAAUGGAUCUCUCGGCUUUC
rnacentral:misc_RNA from 1 species